GAGAUCGGGAGUAACACCUGGAAACAGAUGCUAAUACCGGAUAACAACAGAUGAUGCCUAUCAACUGUUUAAAAGAUGGUUCUGUUAUCACUCUUGGAUGGACCUGCGGUGCAUUAGCUAGUUGGUAGGGUAACGGCCUACCAAGGCGAUGAUGCAUAGCCGAGUUGAGAGACUGAUCGGCCACAUUGGGACUGAGACACGGCCCAAACUCCUACGGGAGGCAGCAGGG
rnacentral:rRNA from 1 species